GAUGAACGCUGGCGGCGUGCCUAAUACAUGCAAGUCGAGCGAACAGAUAGGGAGCUUGCUCCUUUGACGUUAGCGGCGGACGGGUGAGUAACACGUGGGUAACCUACCUAUAAGACUGGGAUAACUUCGGGAAACCGGAGCUAAUACCGGAUAACAUUUGGAACCGCAUGGUUCUAAAGUGAAAGAUGGUUUUGCUAUCACUUAUAGAUGGACCCGCGCCGUAUUAGCUAGUUGGUAAGGUAACGGCUUACCAAGGCGACGAUACGUAGCCGACCUGAGAGGGUGAUCGGCCACACUGGAACUGAGACACGGUCCAGACUCCUACGGGAGGCAGCAGUAGGGAAUCUUCCGCAAUGGGCGAAAGCCUGACGGAGCAACGCCGCGUGAGUGAUGAAGGGUUUCGGCUCGUAAAACUCUGUUAUUAGGGAAGAACAAACGUGUAAGUAACUGUGCACGUCUUGACGGUACCUAAUCAGAAAGCCACGGCUAACUACGUG
rnacentral:rRNA from 1 species